UGGGGAAUAUUGCACAAUGGGCGCAAGCCUGAUGCAGCCAUGCCGCGUGUAUGAAGAAGGCCUUCGGGUUGUAAAGUACUUUCAGCGGGGAGGAAGGUGUUGUGGUUAAUAACCACAGCAAUUGACGUUACCCGCAGAAGAAGCACCGGCUAACUCCGUGCCAGCAGCCGCGGUAAUACGGAGGGUGCAAGCGUUAAUCGGAAUUACUGGGCGUAAAGCGCACGCAGGCGGUCUGUCAAGUCGGAUGUGAAAUCCCCGGGCUCAACCUGGGAACUGCAUCCGAAACUGGCAGGCUUGAGUCUUGUAGAGGGGGUAGAAUUCCAGGUGUAGCGGUGAAAUGCGUAGAGAUCUGGAGGAAUACCGGUGGCGAAGGCGGCCCCCUGGACAAAGACUGACGCUCAGGUGCGAAAGCGUGGGGAGCAAACA
rnacentral:rRNA from 1 species